AGCAGCCGCGGUAAUUCCAGCUCCAAUAGCGUAUAUUAAAGUUGUUGCAGUUAAAAAGCUACGUAGUUGAAUUUCGGGGUCAGUAGAUUGGUCAUGCCUCCGGUAUGCACUGGUCUUACUGGCUCCUCCUUCCUGAUGAACCGUAAUGCCAUUAAUUUGGUGUUGCGGGGAGACUGGACUGUUACUUUGAAAAAAUUAGAGUGUUUAAAGCAGGCUAACGCUUGAAUACAUUAGCAUGGAAUAAUGAAAUAGGACGUUCGAAUCUUAUUUUGUUGGUUUCUAAGAUUGACGUAAUGAUUAAUAGGGAUAGUUGGGGGCAUUAGUAUUCAAUUGUCAGAGGUGAAAUUCUUGGAUUUAUUGAAGACUAACUACUGCGAAAGCAUUUGCCAAGGAUGUUUUCAUUAAUCAAGAACGAAAGUUAGGGGAUCGAAGACGAUCAGAUACCGUCGUAGUCUUAACCAUAAACUAUGCCGACUAGGGAUCGGAUGAUGUUAAUUUUUAAUGACUCAUUCGGCGCCUU
rnacentral:rRNA from 1 species